ensembl:lncRNA
GACCCUUAUUUAUUGCAGCAGAGCAUUUAUGGCUCCAGCACAAACCAGCACUCGGUAUUCAGACGAGACUCGCACAGCCUUCACAAAAGCAAUCAUCUGCUGGUGCUCGCCAUUCUCUGACCGAACCCAUUCUGCUCAGAGCCCCGAAACUUUCCGCACACCGCGCACCCUUCCCUGGGUGAAGCCAAGCGCGUCGCACGCAGCGUGCCGCGGCCAGGCAGGGUGCCAGGCUCUGCCAGCACAGCGCAGCACCGCUGCAGUACCAUUCCCAGGCAAACACCACUUGGAAUAAAAGCUUGCACUUCCUAAAGUACUCAGAAGAAAGCACACUGGCUACCGCCAUCCAACAGGUAAUAUCUUCAGAUUUCUCUCUUGGCAUCAUUCCCCAGCUCCUACCUGAGUAUCUGAUGUCCACGGCUUCCUACAGCAUGGUGGCAGAUGCCAUUCUGAUAGGAGAACAGCAAUUCCUUCCUGACCCAGAGGGUUACAUCAUACCUCUGAAAUGCGAGAUCAGAUCCAGUCCAGCUACCUGUCCGUCUCCAGGCUGCCUAUCAAUUAGCAUUAGACACUAAUUUGAUUAAAUCAGCACGCUGAGAUUUUAUUUGGUUCCACCUAAGGAGGAUAAUUCCCCCUGCGUGGUCUUUGGAACCCACUAAUUUUCCAAUGCAAUGGGAAACACAGGUUGGGAUUUGGAGGCUCUUUCUUCUACUUGUUAACAUGUGAGCUGAAAACCGCAGUAAAAAAUAAAUCCAUGCAACUUGGUAGAAUGGGACUUGCCAGCUGAGGAGAAAGCAGCUUUUUACAGAAUAGCCCAGAUGGAAAAAAAUGUAUGCAUUUAACUCUGAAACCUGAAGUGUUCUUUGAGGGAAAACGAAUACGUUUUAGCCUUAAAGGGAUCACAGACUGCAAUUAUAUAAUUCUUGUCAACUGAUGUUAAAGAUAGGCUGGAAAGAAUGUAUGC